ACGAACGCUGGCGGCAUGCCUAACACAUGCAAGUCGAACGUGAUCCGGAGCUUGCUCCGGUGAAAGUGGCGCACGGGUGAGUAACGCGUGGGAACCUGCCCAAAGGUAAGGAAUAACCGCGGGAAACUGCGGCUAAUACCUUAUGCUCCCUUCGGGGGAAAGAUUUAUCGCCUUUGGAUGGGCCCGCGUCGGAUUAGCUAGUUGGUGAGGUAACGGCUCACCAAGGCGACGAUCCGUAGCUGGUCUGAGAGGAUGAUCAGCCACACUGGGACUGAGACACGGCCCAGACUCCUACGGGAGGCAGCAGUGGGGAAUAUUGGACAAUGGGCGCAAGCCUGAUCCAGCAAUGCCGCGUGAGUGAUGAAGGCCUUAGGGUUGUAAAGCUCUUUCGGCGGGGAAGAUGAUGACGGUACCCGCAGAAGAAGCCCCGGCUAACUUCGU
rnacentral:rRNA from 1 species